rnacentral:tRNA from 1 species
GCUUUAGUAACUUAAUCAAAGUGUCACCCUUGUAAGAUGAAGACUGUAAUUUACCAUAUUACCUAAAGCU